GCGUGUGCGAUGAAGGCCUUCGGGUUGUAAAGCACUUUUUGGAGGGAUGAGGAAGGACAGUACCUUCAGAAUAAGCCUCGGCUAACUACGUGCCAGCAGCCGCGGUAAAACGUAGGAGGCGAGCGUUAUCCGGAUUUACUGGGUGUAAAGCGCGUGUAGGCGGCUUGACAAGUUGGAUGUGAAAGCUCCUGGCUUAACUGGGAGAGGUCGUUCAAAACUGUCAGGCUAGAGUAUGAGAGAGGGAGGUGGAAUUCCGGGUGUAGUGGUGAAAUGCGUAGAUAUCCGGAGGAACACCAGUGGCGAAAGCGGCCUCCUGGCUCAAAACUGACGCUCAGACGCGAAAGCUAGGGUAGCAAACGGGAUUAGAGACCCCGGUAGUCCUAGCUGUAAACGAUGUGGACUUGGCGUUGGUGGUGUUAAAUCCAUCAGUGCCGGAGCAAACGCGUUAAGUCCACCACCUGGGGACUACCGCCGCAAGGUU
rnacentral:rRNA from 1 species